UACAGAUAAAGUCCAAAAUUGGAUGAUGUCAACAUUAUCUGGACAAUGUUGACAUUAUCCAAAAUAUGUGAAUAAUGUUUAAUAAGAAGUGGGUGUUUUAUUAUUUUUUGAUGUUUAUCCAGAUAAUUCCGACAUUGUCCACUUGCUCUUAGAUAAUAUCUCAUUCAAAAUUUGAAGAAAUAAUCGCUUAUUGACCUGGAGGCUGUGUAUGUGUGUACACAGUCGAGAUUAGGUGAGAGGAAAUACAUACAGUAGACUCAAGAAUUUAGGCAAGGAAAUAAUACAUUUGGGCCAAUGAAAAAGUUGCUAAAGAUUCUGAUCCAAACAUUAAUGCAGACCCAAUGUUGAGAGGCAGGAGGAAGUCAUACUCAAAUAUUUUCCUCAGGCGUAUAAGGCUCUUGUGGCUAGUCAAGAAUUUCUCCCAUGUAAAGCAUGCCUCGUCUAUGAAUAAAAUUAUUCUCAAAAAAUCAGCAUCGUUGGCAGUCUUUCAAUGUAGUAGGGAAGGAGCAAAAUUCAGCCGACAUAUAUUGGUUCAAAACAAACUUCUAAGGUGUGAAGCUCAAAAUCUGCACCCCAGAAAGAGUACAUUGUGAGGACAAAAAGUACUUGUCUUGUCAUUUUCUAUCACCCCUGAAGUUUAGCGGUAAAGUUUUUGAUCACCCUGUAUUAUAAUUUCUUAUAUGAGGUAAAAUUUACUGUCUUGUUAUUUUUGCAUUUAAGUUCAGA
rnacentral:lncRNA from 1 species